UAAAAUGUCACAGUAAUACUGUCCCCUCACUCCAUCUACUUGAUCUGAAAUGGGGAUUUGCAGGAAGAACAAAACCUCUCACCUGGUGAGCCCACCACACCAUGAGAUAAGAGAAUGCCGCAAUCCAGAGGAUGGAUCCAAAAAAUGUGAUGACAAAGAAUUUUUUUGAUUCCUGUUGAAAUCAAGUUUGGAAAGAAAAAAGAGAAGUUUCAGGGAAGUUAAUAGUCCCCAUUGAAAACUAUUCACCUGAAACACUUCACUGCAAUUGAUUGCUUAACUUGGACCCUGGUCUCUGUUUGCUCUUUUUCAGCUUGAUUAGGUGACCUGUAGUUGCUAGAAUUUGUGGUUUAUUAAAUUAAGUCUGGAAUGACAUUACACUGCAGCUGGGGCUCCUGUCCCACUCCCUGCAGUAGUUACAGCCCUUCAGCUAUGCAAAGACUCCAGACAUGGGAAAAUGGACCCAGGGACUCUGGCCCAGAGGAAAUCUGUAGCUCAGUUCAUGACUCCAGGAGCAGAAGGAAGGUGGAUUCUUACCGAGUUUCUGACAUCAGGCAGAGUGCUCCAGAGAGGAAAGACAAUGGGAAAGAGGAAGAGCCCCAGAACCAAGGACACCAUUGCAGCUUCAGGCCCAAAAAGUGCAAACAACAGCAAACUGAGGAGAGCAGCCUGAGAGGAUGGGGCUGCAUAACCUGGAGCUGCAGUUGGAUAAUUAACUCCAAUAUGGAAAUGGACCAAAACUUAUGAAAGUGUGGAAAUGUGUGACCUGCUGUCCAUCUCGGGUGUAGCCAUGGCCAGGCUCUUGUACUGCCCAAGGUGUAUCCUUUGAAGGCCUUUUAAUAAAUCCCCUACUUUAUUCCUUUAA